GACAGUUUGUCCGAGUGGUUAAGGAGGUGGACUCGAAAUCCACUGGGCUAUGCCCGCGCAGGUUCGAAUCCUGCAGCUGUCG
rnacentral:tRNA from 1 species